UACAGAGGUCUCAAGCGUUGUUCGGAUUCAUUGGGCGUAAAGGGUGCGUAGGUGGCGCCGUAAGUCGGGUGUGAAAUUUCGGAGCUUAACUCCGAAACUGCAUUCGAUACUGCGGUGCUUGAGGACUGGAGAGGAGACUGGAAUUCAUGGUGUAGCAGUGAAAUGCGUAGAUAUCGGGAAGAACACCAGUGGCGAAGGCGGCUGCCUGGCCUGUAACUGACGCUGAGACGCGAAAGCGUGGGGAGCGAACCGG
rnacentral:rRNA from 1 species